CUGUCGCAACGCCUACGUCAUUCACCACGCUUCAUCUCAUCUCCGCAGGCAGUUUAUCAUCUCGUGUCAUCACGAGGAGGAUAUUUGAGUGAACUCUAAGGGGCUUAGGACCGCGUCUGAAAUCUAAUUCUUUGGACUGGUCGGUCUGUGUAAUUGGACUCCACCAUGCAGACAACUGAGAAUAAAUAUAAGGUGGCACUAAAGCAUAAAGGAAAGGAACCACUCCCAGACUCCUAGGUUGGCAGGGAUUGUGAAUGGACAUUUCAGCCACCCUCUUUUGUGGCAGUGCACAGCUUUACUCAAGAAUGCUCACCUGGCAAAGAGAUGUUACAAGAUGCAUAAAAUAUUCUACAGAUUUCCAGUUCCCCAGCACCUGGCACCAGCAGUUGAAGAACCUUCACUGAUUCCUCAGGAAUUUUCGGCUUUGAAGAUUGAGAGAAAGAGAGAGAGAGAGAGAACAUGAGAGAGCGGGAGUGAGCAGUACCUAAAUUUCCAUCAUGAUGCUGCUUGCCACCCUGCUUGGGGAGCAGAUGGCAUCUUCUAAAUUACCCAAGCUCUCCAUAACUUCUUGCUGCCAUGUUUCCAAUUAUGUCAGAAUAGUUUUGGCACAAGGGAAAAAAACAAGAAAUAAAAAAGGAAGAAAAAAAAAGCUAAGAUCAUUGAGUUCUUCCUAUGUGCUGCUCACUGGCUUCUUUAUUCAUAAAAUCUCACCUAAUCCUCCCUAUCCCUCUUGAGACAGGUAUUAGACUUACACUGAGAACUGUAGAUAAGGAGAUGAGGACAUGGGAUCACUUACACAUCCUGCCAAUGGCAGAACCAAGGCUUUAACUGAGGCAGUCUGAAUUUUCAGCUCAGGCUCAUCACUACUGUGCUCUCCACUGCUCUCCCAAAUGACAUGAUAUUAACUAAAAUUUAAUGUGAUUGAAACAACAGAUCAUCAGUUAAUAAGGAAUGUUCCACCAUAAGCUCACUUCCUACUGCCUCUCAUCUCACUGAAUAAUGGGAAGUUCCUUGGGAUUGAUAUUCAGUAGAUGAUAUCUGGAUGGUUUAAUAUCUGGUUUUGCAUUUUGUACCUUGUAUGUGAAGGUAAACCAUUUAGACCAAGCAAUAAACAAUGUAAAGAUUUAUCUACAUAAUCCUAGAUUUGAUAUACUUGGCCUGCUCAUAUUUUUUUCACUGUGUUUAAAUAACUUCAGUACUUAGGUCUGUGCUACUUGCAGUUGAAUGGAAGUGUUAAUUCAUGUCAGAAAAACUUCAGUCAGGAAUAUGACUACACUUAUUAACAGACCACACGAAAUCUGAAUUUUUCACUCCAAUGCAAUGGUCGUCAUGCAGAUAGGCACAGUUUAUACUUUCUUUGUGAAUCUAUUUCUCAGCCUACACUUUAAGACAGACAGAACAUUUUCACAAUGUUAUCUGAAUAUAAAAUUAUAUAAAACUGUAAACGUUCAGCCAUGAAAAUAAUGCCAUUGUCAAACACAAUAUAAUUAAUGACCGUAACAAAUCUUAAGUAAGUUGCUUGGAGUGUGUGGCAUUUUGGUAUUUCUUGGUAAAAAACUAUAAUUUCCUUCUUCUUCAGCACUUUUGAAUAUAAUUUGGGGAAUGGUUAAUCUUUGAGACAAUGCAUUCUGGACUAGGGUGGACUAGGAGUUAAUCCUCUUAGGUUCCCCUACACCAAAAAUGAAUUAUACAAUGUAUGAAGUUUGUUUUCUAUUUCUAUGUGAAUAAUACUUUUCAGAAAAAAAAUUUCAAAUUGCUCUUAGAUAUGUGUAGUCACUCUUUAUAGUUCAAAACUGAUGACUUUUUCUCUCUGUAUUGUAGGUCAAUAUGUCCUAACUCCCCUUUUUUUUCUUUCCUAUAUAUACCAUUUCUAUAAUUGUAUGAUGUUUGUGAUCUAACUUGAAAACGUGCUCUUUUGGCAAACAUUUUUUGAUUUAGCCUAGAAUAUGUAUGUCUAAGUAUUAGCUUAUAGACCAUUCUCUAGUCUUUUUAUAUUUGGACCUUUGUUUAAAAAAUAAUUUUUCCUCAUUGUUUAUCAAAUAAUACCCAGUGUUCAAAGCUCUCAAUGAUUUAACUCAAACAUAUCUAUCUGACCAUCUAGCCUACCAUGCCCCUUGCUGUAUCCUACACUCUAAACUGGACCAUUUGCCUAACCUUUGACCUCUGCUUUGUGUUUGGUUUCCUGUAGUCCCCAUUGCUUGAAUGGUUUUUGCAGACGUUGCCGUUGCCCCAAUCAUACCCAUACCCAAAGGUCCAUCUCAAAUUUCACCUUCUCUCUAGCCAGAAGUAAUGUUUUCCUUCUCUGAAUGAAAUUCAUCUAUAGUCUCAUAAUAUUGUAGUGCUAGUAAUGGCUAACAGAGUACUUACUAUGAGCCAGUCACUGUUCUAAGCAAUUUACAUGUAGUAACAGAUUUAAUCCUCACAGUAACUCUAUGAAAUAGGUACUACUAUUAUUACCAUUAUUUGGAUGAGGAAACUGAGGAACAGAGGGGUAAGGUAGUAGAUCCAGGAUUUGAACCUAGGGCCCUGGCUCCCGAGUUCAUGUUCCUAGCUACUGUGGUCCUUUGUAUACUUCCCUAUGGUAUCUACGACAUUCUAUUUUAUACACUUUAUUGUGCACAUUUUCUCACUUCUGCUGUAACUAUGGAAUAGCUUCCAGUUCCAAGAUUCAAUGAUUCUGUUUUUAUCGGCUUAAUUUUGCUGCUUCAAGCAAACGUAACUGUAAACCUGAAUCAUACCACUGCACUCCUCUCCUUGCAGUCGCUUUUCCUGCUCCAUUGCUGGAGCUCAGUUUUAUCUAGUUGGAAAAACCUACAUUUGGUACAUAUGGUGCUUUUCUCCAAAAAGUUAGUAACACACUUCCUCAAGAGGGCUCUAUCAAUUUUCUAUUGAAGAAAAUAGAACUGACAACAUAAACAGCCUCUGUUUACUGAAUGCUUGCUUUGUGUCAGUAUUUGGCUAUUUUUCAGACAGUACCUAAUUGAACCACAGCCAUAUGGUGA